AACAGGGCAAAACAAGGUGACGAUCUGUUCUUCGGCUCUCACACAGGUUUUGAUGUGCGUCUUCAGAGUCACCGCGAUUGACACCGAGAGUGGAGAAAUGGCAUGAUGAAAGGAGAACACAAACCACGCGUGCCCCAAAAAGAACAAGGUGCUGCCCUUAUAACUUCUGCAAAUGUGGUGCCACAGUAUCAGAUUCAGCUGCACAUUUUUGAAUUUCAAGUGGAUUCACAGAAAUAUGAGAGAGACUUCAAAGGUAAAAAAAAAAAUCUGUGUACUUACCUGUUGACAUACUUAUGGGAGAACUAACUGCCAUGCAGCUUUUCUUCCAAAAUGCUACUUAAAAUCUUUUUUUGCUUGAAUGUGAAAGCAAUGAGGGAACAUUUCAUGGAGUACAGGCAGCAUCUAUUAACACUGGAAGAAGGGAAGGGGAAGGAACUG